AUUGAACGCUGGCGGCAGGCUUAACACAUGCAAGUCGAGCGGGGGAGGUUGCUUCGGUAACUGACCUAGCGGCGGACGGGUGAGUAAUGCUUAGGAAUCUGCCUAUUAGUGGGGGACAACAUUCCGAAAGGGAUGCUAAUACCGCAUACGCCCUACGGGGGAAAGCAGGGGAUCUUCGGACCUUGCGCUAAUAGAUGAGCCUAAGUCGGAUUAGCUAGUUGGUGGGGUAAAGGCCUACCAAGGCGACGAUCUGUAGCGGGUCUGAGAGGAUGAUCCGCCACACUGGGACUGGGACACGGCCCAGACUCCGACGGGAGGCAGCAGUGGGGAAGAUUGGACAAUGGGCGGAAGCCUGAUCCAGCCAUGCCGCGUGUGUGAAGAAGGCCUUUUGGUUGUAAAGCACUUUAAGCGAGGAGGAGGCUCUUAAGGUUAAUACCCUUGAUGAGUGGACGUUACUCGCAGAAUAAGCACCGGCUAACUCUGUGCCAGCCGCCGCCGUAAGAC
rnacentral:rRNA from 1 species